rnacentral:lncRNA from 1 species
GGGCUAGGAAGGUCUGACUACGGUCCUACAAACACCGAUCCGAACAUGGUGGAAUACGUCGACUGUUAGGGCUGUCACUACCCUAAGGCUACCACAACAAUCCGUAGGAUUGGGUGCAAUUUCAGGUAAUCGCAAGACUAAACACCACGUCUAAUCUAUUAAUUACUACUCUAGCGUUAUAAAGACUAGAGCACUUGAUGCA